rnacentral:rRNA from 1 species
AUUGAACGCUGGCGGCAGGCCUAACACAUGCAAGUCGAACGGUAACAGGAAGCACCUUGCUGCUUCGCUGACGAGUGGCGGACGUGUGAGUAAUGUCUGUGAACCUGCCUGAUGGAUGGGGAUAACUACUGGAAACGGUAGCUAAUACCGCAUAACGUCGCAAAACCAAAGAGGGGGACCUUAGGGCCUCUUGCCAUCGGAUGUGCCCAGAUGGGAUUAGCUAGUAGGUGGGGUAACGGCUCACCUAGGCGACGAUCCCUAGCUGGUCUGAGAGGAUGACCAGCCACACUGGAACUGAGACACGGUCCAGACUCCUACGGGAGGCAGCAGUGGGGAAUAUUGCACAAUGGGCGCAAGCCUGAUGCAGCCAUGCCGCGUGUAUGAAGAAGGCCUUCGGGUUGUAAAGUACUUUCAGCGGGGAGGAAGGGAGUAAAGUUAAUACAUUUGCUCAUUGACGUUACCCGCAGAAGAAGCACCGGCUAACUCCGUG